rnacentral:lncRNA from 1 species
UCAUUAAACUACUAUGUAUAUAAUUUUAAUCUGAUGGUAAAUAAGAUAAUAAUUAUUACAGUUAAAACAUUAAUGCAUUAAACAUUGUCAUAAUUAAUUGUCAUAUUAACAAUACAAUAUAUAGUUUUCAUUCAACAUCAAGUGUUUUAGCACAAAUAUGAAAUUGUCAAAUCAAAAGUCUAAAACACAAUUUCCUUAUGCUGUUUAACUGGAAGUCUCAGGGCUUGGUUGAUUUUUGGUUGAUGUACCUAUUAUGGUCCAAUAUCCAAAAUCAAAAUACUUGGUUAGAUUCAGAAUAUCAUCAUGAUCAUAGAACCCCAAGAAUUCAAUUUUUGAUGAAAUUAAAUAAUGUUUAAUUUUAGACACUUUAGACCUCAAUGUAGACCAAUUUGAUAACCAGGACCAAAUAUUAAAAAUCUAAAUACACGGUUAGAUUUGGCAUAUCAAAGAACCCCA